CUCCAUCAUAUAAUAAAUGCACCCCUCCUCUAAAUUAUUUCCGUACCCUUCCCUGAAUACUCCAUGUACCCCUCCUAUAAAUACUCAAAGAACUCCUGCCUGAAUACUCUCAGUACCCCAUCUUUAAAUACUACUUGGUUUUUUUCUUCAGGACAGUCUGUAACUUUUCCCUAAAUACUCUCAGUACCCCUCCAUCAAAUAUUCAAUGUACCCCUCCACUAAACACUAGAUACUCAAUGCAUAUCUCCACUAAAUACCCCAACUCUAAGUACGAUUUGUUUUCCUUCUUCAGAACAGUCUGUACCUUUCCUCUGACGACUCUUAAUGCCCUUCCUCUAAAUACUCUUAGUACCCCUCCUCUAAAUACUCUUA